rnacentral:rRNA from 1 species
UACGUAGGGGGCAAGCGUUGUCCGGAAUUACUGGGCGUAAAGCGCGCGUAGGCGGCUUUGCAAGUCGGGUGUGAAAUCCCCAGGCUUAACCUGGGAACUGCAUUCGAGACUGCAUUGCUAGAGUAUGGGAGAGGGAAGUGGAAUUUCAGGUGUAGCGGUGAAAUGCGUAGAUAUCUGAAGGAACAUCAGUGGCGAAAGCGACUUCCUGGACCAAUACUGACGCUCAUGUGCGAAAGCGUGGGGAGCAAACAGG